rnacentral:rRNA from 1 species
AUUUACUUGAUCUUGACUAUCCUACUUGGAUAACUGUGGUAAUUCUAGAGCUAAUACAUGCACCAAAGCCCUGACCUUACGGAAAGGGUGCAUUUAUUAGAACAAAACCAAGCGACUUCGGUCGUUUUUUGUUGACUCAGAAUAACUAAGCUGAUCGCAUGGUCUUGCACCGGCGACGUGUCUUUCAAGUAUCUGCCUUAUCAACUUUCGAUGGUAGUGUAUCUGACUACCAUGGUGGUGACGGGUAACGGAGGAUAAGGGUUUGACUCCGGAGAAGGGGCCUGAGAAAUGGCCACUACGUCUAAGGAUGGCAGCAGGCGCGCAAAUUACCCACUCUCAGAACGAGGAGGUAGUGACGAAAAAUAACGAGACCGUUCUCUACGAGGCCGGUCAUCGGAAUGGGUACAAUCUAAACCCUUUAACGAGUAUCUAUGAGAGGGCAAGUCUGGUGCCAGCAGCCGCGGUAAUUCCAGCUCUCAAAAUGCAUAGAAUUAUUGCUGCGGUUAAAAAGCUCGUAGUUGGAUCUGUGCUGAGGACCUGGUCCACCUUCGGGUGCGUACUAGGCUCCACGGCUUUUCUGCCGGUUUUCCCGUCAUGGCUUUCAUCGGCUGUGGCGGGUGGCUGGUGAUUUUACUUUGAACAAAUCAGAGUGCUUCAAACAGGCGUUUAGCUUGAAUGUUUUUGCAUGGAAUAAUAGAAGAGGAUUUCGGUUCUAUUUUAUUGGUUUUAUAGACUGAAAUAAUGGUUAACAGAGACCAACGGGGGCAUUCGUACCGCUGCGUGAGAGGUGAAAUUCUUGGACCGCAGCGAGACGAACUACAGCGAAAGCAUUUGCCAAGAAGGUCUUCAUUAAUCAAGAACGAAAGUCAGAGGUUCGAAGGCGAUCAGAUACCGCCCUAGUUCUGACCGUAAACGAUGCCAACUAGCGAUCUGCCGGCGGAAUUUUCGCCCUGGUAGGGAGCUUCCCGGAAACGAAAGUCUUCCGGUUCCGGGGGAAGUAUGGUUGCAAAGCUGAAACUUAAAGGAAUUGACGGAAGGGCACCACCAGGAGUGGAGCCUGCGGCUUAAUUUGACUCAACACGGGGAAACUCACCCGGCCCGGACACCAUAAGGAUUGACAGAUUGAUAGCUUUUUCAUGAUUUGGUGGAUGGUGGUGCAUG